GUGCCAGCAGCCGCGGUAAUACGUAGGGUGCGAGCGUUAAUCGGAAUUACUGGGCGUAAAGCGUGCGCAGGCGGUUCGUUGUGUCUGAUGUGAAAGCCCCGGGCUCAACCUGGGAACUGCAUUGGAAACUGGCGGACUUGAGUGUGGCAGAGGGGGGUGGAAUUCCGCGUGUAGCAGUGAAAUGCGUAGAGAUGCGGAGGAACACCGAUGGCGAAGGCAGCCCCCUGGGCCAACACUGACGCUCAGGCACGAAAGCGUGGGGAGCAAACAGGAUUAGAUACCCCCGUAGUCC
rnacentral:rRNA from 1 species